rnacentral:rRNA from 1 species
GACGAACGCUGGCGGCGCGCUUAACACAUGCAAGUCGAACGGAAAGGCCUGCUUUCCCUUGUGGAUUGCGGGUACUCGAGUGGCGAACGGGUGAGUAACACGUGAGUGAUCUGCCCCCAACUUGGGUAUAAGCCUGGGAAACUGGGUCUAAUUCCCGAUAGGACUGCAGGGUGGUGCCUGUGGUGGAAAACGAUUUUCUAGUGGUUGGGGAUGAGCUCGCGGCCUAUCAGCUUGUUGGUGGGGUAAUGGCCUACCAAGGCGGCGACGGGUAGCCGGCCUGGGAGGGUGGACGGCCACAUGGGGACUGAGAUACGGCCCAGACUCCUACGGGAGGCAGCAGUGGGGAAGAUUGCACAAUGGGCGGAAGCCUGAUGCAGCGACGCCGCGUGGGGGAUGACGGCCUUCGGGUUGUAAACUCCUUUCGACCGCGAGGAAGCCACCUGGUUGGAAGGGUGGUGACGGUAGUGGUAGAAGAAGCACCGGCUAACUACGUG